rnacentral:rRNA from 1 species
UACGUAGGUGGCGAGCGUUGUCCGGAUUUACUGGGCGUAAAGGGAGCGUAGGCGGAUUUUUAAGUGAGAUGUGAAAUACUCGGGCUCAACUUGAGUGCUGCAUUUCAAACUGGAAGUCUAGAGUGCAGGAGAGGAGAUUGGAAUUCCUAGUGUAGCGGUGAAAUGCGUAGAGAUUAGGAAGAACACCAGUGGCGAAGGCGAUUCUCUGGACUGUAACUGACGCUGAGGCUCGAAAGCGUGGGGAGCAAACAGG